rnacentral:rRNA from 1 species
UUCGCAAUGCCCGAAAGGGUGACGAAGCGACGCCGCGUGGGUGAGGAAGGCCUUCGGGUUGUAAAACCCUGUCAGGAGUUAAGAAAUGUAAGUGCGCUAAUAUCGCAUUUAUUUGACGAAGGCUCCAAAGGAAGCCACGGCUAACUCUGUGCCAGUAGCCGCGGUAAUACAGAGGUGGCAAGCGUUGUUCGGAAUUAUUGGGCGUAAAGAGCACGUAGGUGGGUUUGUAAGUCAGAUGUGAAAGCCUUCUGUUCAACGGAAGAAUUGCAUCUGAAACUGCUAAUCUUGAGUAUAGGAGGGGAGAAUGGAACUUCUGGUGGAGCGGUGAAAUGCGUAGAUAUCAGAAGGAACGCCGGCGGCGAAAGCGAUUCUCUGGCCUAUUACUGACACUGAGUGUGCGAAAGCUAGGGGAGCAAACGGGAUUAGAUACCCCGGUAGUCCUAGCCGUAAACGAUGGGCACUAAGUAGAGGGGUUUUA